GCGGAAAUGGCGGAACGGCAGACGCGCAUGCUUCAGGCGCAUGUAUCCACUAGGAUGUGAGGGUUCAAAUCCCUUUUUCCGCA
rnacentral:tRNA from 1 species